AGAGUUUGAUCCUGGCUCAGGACGAACGCUGGCGGCGUGCCUAAUGCAUGCAAGUCGAGCGGGCUACGAUCUUCGGAUUGUAGCUUAGCGGCGAACGGGUGAGUAACACGUAGGUGAUCUACCCUUCAGAGGAGGACAACCUCAGGAAACUGAGGCUAAACCUUCAUACGUUCACUGGUAGGGAUACUGGUGAAGAAAGAGUUACCCCUAGAGGGUAGCUGCUGAAGGAUGAGCCUGCGGCCCAUCAGGUAGUUGGUGAGGUAACGGCUCACCAAGCCGAAGACGGGUAACCGGUCUGAGAGGAUGUCCGGUCACACUGGGACUGAGACACGGCCCAGACUCCUACGGGAGGCAGCAGCAGGGAAUCUUGGGCAAUGGGCGAAAGCCUGACCCAGCGACGCCGCGUGGAGGAAGAAGUCCUUCGGGGCGUAAACUCCUGGACUGGGGGACGAGGAAGGACGGUACCCCAGUAGAAAGGGACGGCUAACUACGUGCCAGCAGCCGCGGUAAAACGUAGGUCCCGAGCGUUGUUCGGAUUCACUGGGUGUAAAGGGCGCGUAGGUGGUUGUCUGUGUCUCAUGUGAAAACUCAGGGCUCAACUCUGAGAUUGCGUGGGAAACUAGGCAGCUAGAGGACGGUAGAGGGGAGUGGAAUUCCCGGUGUACCGGUAAAAUG
rnacentral:rRNA from 1 species